rnacentral:lncRNA from 1 species
CUGAAUUUUUUCCGAGAAACUGAAACGCACUACUGCUACCUGCACGUGUCCCAAAAAAUCCAAAAUUAGACCUAGGGCCCCUUUCAGCCAAUAUCGCAAUUCCGGCACGGCGGCUCCGCCGUGCUCCGGCGACGGCGUCGCCGCAAGCGGCAGCGAUUCGCCUCGGGUUGGCCGUUUUCGGCCGAAUUCGGCCACGCUUGCAUCAGUCCCCGCGAUAGAACAACCCUAGGGCCCUCGGUGGGCCGAAAAAUCACGAAAAACUGAAACUUACCGGCGGUGAUGCUCUCGGGUGCUGUGGCUCCUCCGGCGUGAGUCGCGUUUUGAUGUUUGACUCCGAUCAACCUGUAGAGAGAAGAACGGUGAUCACAGUGGUAUAAAAUUUGCAUUAAUCGGAGGCCGGGAAGGGCCUCAUCGGAGGCAAAAACCGAGGAGGGAUGCAGCGGCGCCGCUGGGUUUCGGUUGGAUUUUUCGGCCGUUUGGCCGGUGGUUUGGCUCCGGUUUGACCAUAGGUGGACUCAGCGUCGAAAAACGAGCAAGGGGGAGAAAAAUUACCUCGAUCGGCGGUUUGAAACUUCCCCGGUGCGGCGGCGGGUGGCGGCGGCCGGCUCCUCCGGCGUUUGGUUCUUCUUCCCCGGUGAGCACUAGCGGCUAGGGUUUCUUUGGUCAGGUGUGGGUGGGGGUAUUUAUACCCUUUGCCUUUUAAUCUUGACCGUCCAUCAAGAUUGAAUCUGGACUGUCUGAUCGCGAUUUAAUUGGGAUUAAAUCUGGGCCGUUCAUCGCGAUGCAAUCUGGACCGUCCGUGCCCGAUUGAAUCUGGGUCGUCCGUGCGCACGUUUGAUAUGGGCCAUCCGUGUGCGCGGGAACGGAUCUGGGCCGUCUAAUCACGCGCAUGCGGAUCGCCCACGUGGCCCGUUCCCUGGUCAGCGUUGCCUUGCCACGCGGCAUGUUCUGGUU